rnacentral:rRNA from 1 species
UGGGGAAUUUUGGACAAUGGGCGAAAGCCUGAUCCAGCAAUGCCGCGUGUGUGAAGAAGGCCUUCGGGUUGUAAAGCACUUUUGUCCGGAAAGAAAUCCUUGGCUCUAAUACAGUCGGGGGAUGACGGUACCGGAAGAAUAAGCACCGGCUAACUACGUGCCAGCAGCCGCGGUAAUACGUAGGGUGCAAGCGUUAAUCGGAAUUACUGGGCGUAAAGCGUGCGCAGGCGGUUUGCUAAGACCGAUGUGAAAUCCCCGGGCUCAACCUGGGAACUGCAUUGGUGACUGGCAGGCUAGAGUAUGGCAGAGGGGGGUAGAAUUCCACGUGUAGCAGUGAAAUGCGUAGAGAUGUGGAGGAAUACCGAUGGCGAAGGCAGCCCCCUGGGCCAAUACUGACGCUCAUGCACGAAAGGCGUGGGGAGCAAACAGGAUUAGAUACCCUGGUAGUCCACGCCCUAAACGAUGUCAACUAGUUGUUGGGGAUUCAUUUCCUUAGUAACGUAGCUAACGCGUGAAGUUGACCGCCUGGGGAGUACGGUCGCAAGAUUAAAACUCAAAUGAAUUGAC